UAGUCAAACGAAUACGUCGAGAAAUAUCAUAAAGUCGAGUCGAAUUAUAAUUAUAAACUAAUUGUAUCAUCGUUAAAUCAUUUGUGACAUGCACAUUAUAAUUUUACAUAUCCUUAAGUAUACAAGUUUAUAUUGACACUGUUAAUUCAGUGUUACAAUCAUUUGAACUACUUCUGUUAUUCUAAUCGAAACAGGGGAAUGACUGAUUCGCGGCGUCGACUAUCAGAAUCGUAGCGAGAAUUUAUGCCUCUCUCUGACGCGUUUCCCCGUGAUCGCGUCUUUUCGCGAACGGCCGUAAUAUUCCUAAUGUAGUCUAAUUCUGGUGCCAUUUUCGUUCUGUGCUACGUCUCAUUAGGUUAUCAAUGUAUGGGCGGAAUUAUCUUCGCUAGAAACUCAAUUUAAUGCCUUACACGGGUUACAGAAGUUUCUUUAUGGCGCUCCAACUCUGUUUAAACUGGACUUUGAAGUAAAGUCAUGCAAUCUUGUUACUUAAUCUCGUAAUAGAAUAAAAGCGUAACGCAUCAUCGCGUCAAUUAUUUCAUUAAUUACUUGUUAAGCAACUCUUGAUACAUGGUCGUGUGAAUUAUUCACGGUUAAUUACGCUUGAGAAGAAAUUUACGUUAAACGAAUGCCAGCUACAACACCUUUCCAGAGAAAAAUGUUAUUACAUUACGAACCAAAUAUGCCAUUUUCUCCGCAACAAAGGGAUAAUACGAAAAUAUGGUCGAAUCGGUAGCCACAAAUUGAUGUUAACAGAUGGUUCUCGGAAUUCCGAAUUUGCAUCGAAAUGUAAAUACCGAAACAAAGGAUAGCAGUUCGAAAUUAGAAAAAGACGCACAAAAGGCGGAAAAUCCACAUUGUAGUUUUAUCAACUAUGGAAUGGAAAUUUCCGAGUAUUUGGUCAAAAGUUCAGUGAGUGGAAAGAAACAAAACAGAUGAACAAUUACGGGUAGAAUAGAAUUUUAAAUGAGCGGCGAAAAAACAAGAAUCGUUUAAUGAGAUAAAAGUCAUCCGCAAAUCACUGUACUAAAAAUCAAAUUAGGUGUACCAUAAAUAUUAGAGACUAUGAUGUUACACACACAACCAUACAAUUAGGUUUAAAAGAAGAUUCUCUGACAAAUUAAUAAUUAUGGAAAUACCUGGAAGGUGAGAGGUCUUCCUUCGAUGCAGCACGCAUGCGGCUGUGAAAUCGUUUGGGUGUUAGAUGUUCUUCGCUGUCCUCCUGAGUAGAUGGAUGAUAAGGAUAAUAGAAGGGCUUUUCUUUCCCUCCGACUGUUUUCAUUAGUACUCUGCCAGAACUAUAUCUGCGAAUAUAUGUAAAUUUGUGCAUACAGCAAAAUUUAUUUGUCAACAAAUUGUCGUUCCUCUCAUCUAUGAAAUACGAUGUUCUUUAUUUAAAAAAACAGCAAUAAUAUACGUAUAUAAUAUACAUAUAUUCUUUCCUGUAGAAACCACGUUGCAUGUGUUAUUAUUGGUCGUGAAAAGAUGAGAGCCAUUUUUAUCGGGGUUUAAAAAAUUUCAGAAAAUUAAAAAAAAUGUAUUGUAGCAGAGGAAGCAACGUAUUUCUAUCAAGAAAGAUUUAUAUGAAGAAAGAGCAUUAUCGUUUCAAUAUAAAUAUCUGUUUUCUUGUGUUAACUAUAAUUAAUUAUUAGAUCUCUUUGAAAAUAAAUGAACGCUUUUGAAAACAGUUUAUUCAUAAUUUAUGACUUUAUUAAAGAUUCUAUUGAUUUUAUCGAAUAUUUCUAAACUAAAAUUAUUUUUACUAACUUUCUUUUGCCUCUUCUCUUCUCCUUUGAUAAGCUAAGGAUGCAUUUAAUAUGUCAAAACGUCUUAUUCGGAAAGCAGUUGAUUCAAUUCGAUUUGUAACAAUGUAACUCUUUUGGUUUAAAUAGAAAUGCACGAUAAUAAACGUUUACCUAUUU